CACGUAGGGGGCAAGCGUUGUCCGGAUUUAUUGGGCGUAAAGAGCGUGUAGGCGGCCAUUCAGGUCAGCUGUGAAAACUCGAGGCUCAACCUCGAGACGUCGGUUGAAACCGUUUGGCUAGAGUCCGGAAGAGGAGAGUGGAAUUCCCGGUGUAGCGGUGAAAUGCGCAGAUAUCAGGAGGAACACCGGUGGCGAAGGCGGGUCUCUGGGCCGAUACUGACACUGGAGGAGCGAAAGCGUGGGGAGCGAACAGG
rnacentral:rRNA from 1 species